UCAACUGCAGGCAAAAGUUUUCCAGGCCGCUCAUAGCAAAACGCCUCAUUUCUUUUCAUAACUCGCUUUCAGACGAGCACAGUCGAGCUUCCCCAGUGUGAAGACACAGUUGAGAGAUAAAGCGGGCCAGGCCAAGCACACAGGGCUUGAUAAAGAUGUUGUGAUUUUUUUUUUAAUCGCUUUAAAUUUGCUCAAAAUUGUGGCUGAAGUUCACUUUUUUUCCCUCCUUCUUCUUCUUCGUUUUAAAAGGGCAAGAUGUUCGCGGGGUUGGUUUGCUAUUCUCUUCCUGUUUUUUACGGGUGCAGUAAAGACGUUCCGGCCGCAGGACUCAAGUUGUUGUCACGCCUUCCACGGACAAGGAGGCAGGUUCACACAACCCGCGAUCUCGGGAUGUAAAUUUACUCUUUGUACUGAUGUUUUGCAGCCAUGGGGACAGCAACGGGACUCAGAUACUGUUAUCUACACUUUUUCAAAGUUGUAGCAAAUAGAAUAUUUUCCUCCUAAUUAUCUGCGACAGCUUUUCAACAAACCUACUUUUUCUUUUUCUUUUUUUUUCUCCCCCUUCUGUUACCCAAAACCAAUGAACAUCUGAGAGUCCAAGAGAGAAACUUGUUUCACAGCUUUGUUGGAUUGACUCUUCAAGCAGUAAUGGCCAUUGCCCGGCUUGAUUAUGUGGCUCCGUGGUGGACAUACUGGCUGCACAAUUUCCCACACUUCAAUUUUCUCUUCCAGUCGGUCGACAACGCUUUCAGACCGGAGGAAGCGAGCUAUCAGCAGUCUCUAACAGUUUUGGCUUGUGCUGGUGCUAUCGGACUCGCUCUGAGCCUCCUAAUUCUGGCCGUGUACUUGGUGUGUCUAUUCUGCUGCCGUCGGAGCCUGGAUGAAGAAACCAAACGGCCCGACACCUGUUGUGUCACGUGGGUCGCAGUUAUUACGGGUCUCAUAAUAUGUUCUGCUGUAGGCGUGGGUUUCUAUGGGAACAGCGAGACCAACGAUGGGGUCUACCAACUGACCUACUCCCUCUACCAUGCCAAUCACACUCUGGAUAGUAUCAACAGUCUGGUUGAAGGAGCUCGAAGCAAUGUGGAAGCUGGACUUAAACAGCACCUAGAAAGGCUGGAUGAGAUCUUUGCCACAAAGAUUGAGUAUCUCCAGGCUCUGCGCUUCCUGCAACUAAUGGUCAACAACAUUAUCCGCGAGCUGACGGCUCUGCCAGACAUCAACAAGUCCGAGAUUGACUUGGCAGCCAUUGCAGACCAGACUGCUUUCAUUGAGUAUUACAGAUGGCUGACUUACCUCCUGCUGCUGAUCCUUGACCUGGUCAUCUGCUUGGUCAUGUGCUUGGGAAUAGCAAAACAGUCUCAAUGUCUGCUGAUCACGAUCAUUGGUUUUGUGAUACUAUCCUUGGUUCUAAGCUGGGCUGCACUAGGAAGUGGCACCGCAACAGCUGUGGGCACAAGCGACUUCUGUGUGUCUCCAAAUAAAUUCAUUGUUAACCAAACCAAGGAUUUCCUCACUGCAGAUGUUGCACACUAUUAUUUGUUCUGCAGUCCGAAUCUGCAAAACCCCUUCCAGCAGUCGCUAACAAUCUGCCAGCGUUCUCUGACCACAAUGCAAAUCCAGAUCCAGGGCCUGCUGCAGUUCUCUAUGGCCAUUUUCCCCACAGCUCAGAGAGACCUUUUAGGGAUCCAGAGGCUGUUAAACUCCACAGAGUUCAAUGUUCACCAGUUAACAGCCUUGCUUGACUGCCGCGGGAUACAUAAGGACUACCUGGAUGCCCUCAUGGGUGUGUGCUAUGACGGCGUGGAGGGGCUCCUCUAUCUCUCUUUGUUUUCUCUUCUGGCUGCCUGCGCACUCUCUGCCAUGCUGUGUGUAAUUUUCCGACUGUGGACAUUAAUGGGCAGCAGGGAGAAGGAGUACAACGACAUCGAUGAGGAAGACCCGUUCAACCCACAGGCGCGCCGGCUGUCGUUUAACCCCAGAAGGUCCAACACACACAGUUUCUGCAGCUACAUCAGCAGCCUUGGCAGCCAGGCCAGCCUUCAUCCUCCUCCUCAGUCUCAGUCUAAUUCCACCAUACAACCUCCUGAAUAUAUGAAUCAGUCCAUGCUGUUCGGAGGAACCCCUCGAUAUGAAAACGUUCCUCUCAUAGGGGGAGGAUCUCCGCCUCCUUCGGUUCGUUGGCCUUAUGGGGCUCUAGUGACCGUAGUCUGAUAAUGAUAUGCAACAGCAUGCAGAAAGUUAUGCAGAAUGUUAUAAUGCAAAACAGAAGUUCUCAAGAAACUUCUGUUCCAAUUUAAGUGACUGAAGAGGGACAUCUGAUGGCCAUAUGUAGAAGUGCAUCUCCUUUGUGGAUCUUUCUUCUUGUUUGCUAUUGAUAUGUUUUGAUUUUUUAUUACAAGAUAGUAGUAAUUCAUUCUUUAGUUAAUGCUAAACAUUUCCUCAUAUGUGAGCUGGUUAAGCACCAUGUGUUUUGCUUCAGUUUAGUAAAGCUCACUUAAUUGUAGCAUAGUAUGUGUUUUGUCUCCAGAGUUUAGUGAUAAAUAAUAGAUAAAAGAUGGAAGACAGAUAAAUCCACAGUCCACAUCUUGGCUUUGUGAUGUUUUCUUCCUGCUAAGAUUUCUUGCUUCUGUGGCUUGAGCAGCUUUCACAGCAUACCAAAGACUAAAAACACCUUUUGUGUGGGUGAAGGCAAGCAAGAAUCUGAAUCAUUGUCUAAAAUGUUGCUAUGCAAGGCACAUUUUUAUCAGUUAGCGAUAUCUCUGCUUUCUGUCUGCUCAUAACAGAGAAGUUGGAAGCUUUAAUAAAACACAUGCUAAAUAAGAACUUGAGUUUGCCUACAUUUGUAGUUAUGAUUUGGAUUAUUUUUUCUUUUGGUUUUGCUUUCCUACAUUUUGCUUUUUUAAUUUUCAUGCAAGCAGUUUAUCAGUGGCAUGUCUAACAGCUCUGUGAAAAACUAUUUUCUUUUUUACUCCUCAACUCAGACUUUGACAACUUAUUCACCCAGUAUGAGGACCACAUACCUGUCCAUAACUGAUGCCCAAAUCAGACACUUGAGGACUGACUUCCAGGUGUAAGCUGCUGCCUG